rnacentral:lncRNA from 1 species
CAAACAGACUAACACUUCCUGACGAGAACUGAAAAAUGAGGCAAAGGCAGGAAGCUUUUAUAGGGUAAAGAAUGAAGACUGAGGAAAAGGAAAAGUAGAAAAUACCUGACUGGCAGGGGCCAACACAGCCAACCUUGUUUGGAGUGAAAAGAAACAAGGAAAUAAGUAUAGAACCCAGAGUUGGCUUGGCGUUGGCAGAUUUUUCUAACUAAAUAUACUGUUUCUAGUCGAGCGGAGCCCUUCCAGGAAGUCGUAAGUUCAGUUUGCUGACGUCACACCUCCUGCAGGAGCCGCUCCAGCUUGGGCCUACAAAUUAUUUCAACACUGGUGAGUACCCUUUUUUUAAGAAAAAGUUUCUCUAGGGCCCGUGCACUCCACACGGAGUCAUGCUGGUGUCUCCUAGGAUGGAUGUGACACAGUGCUUCUGCAAUUCCAGUCAGGGUUUUGCCGCAGAUCCAGGCAGAUUUGCUAUGGGGACAUGGGACCAGACCAAGGGUACAAGACUCUAAAAACUAAAAAAGAAACAAGAAACUGAAUUUUCACAGAAAUGGAUUUUCCAAAGUCAUAUUCUCUUAGCUAUGCUCUUUAAUUUUGUUCACUACCUAUAGCAGUUGUUUUAUUAAAUGACAUUAAAAUCUUAACUUGAUACCGCCACUUAUAAGUUAUUAGAUAAUAUUCUCUUGAUUCAUUAACCCUUACGACACUGUUUUGCUAAACAAAAUUCAUUGCCUUUGAGGCAGUUCUAUCUCAUUCUUUCUGUUCAUCACGUAGGAGAAAAAUGUGAUGCUCUACAUAAUUCCGCCAAUACAGACUUCAAAGCUCACACGGUAUUUCAGUUCCAUAGCUUUUAUAAUUGCUUCCAAUCUUAAAUUGCUUAAGGCCAAUUAAAUGGACAAUUAUUAUAAUUUUAUUAUUUCAAUUAACCUUUUGUAAACUUUCAAAUAUCUAAAUUUUCCUUUAUCAGGCCUGAUGGUAGUAGGUCACUGUAGCUAAUUCUAAUUUAUGUUUCUGACAGAGUUUAAAAAUAUAUUUGUAAAAGAAAAAAUUUUUUAAAUGUGCACACUUCAGUUACAAGUGGUUAAGCUGCUGUCAUAUUAUAUUUCAUAUAUGUGUAUAUUUUCUCUUUAUCUUGUUACAGUAAUGUAGGGAAGCAAUAUAGCAGACUAAAUAAGAACAUACAUUUGCAGUUUGAAAAAACUAGGUCCAUCCAAAUGCUAUUGCAUAGCAAAGUAGCUUAUAUGACUUCAGCAACCUAUUUAAACCUUUGAAUUUUAGGUUCUCGCCAAUCACUGUGUAUGUGUGUAUGCAUGUUGGGGGUGGUAUUGCUUCCUUAGUGUGUGGGAAGACUAGGAUUGUAUAUAUAUAAUCAUAAUCUUUUGCUUCUUUUAGAAAUUUAAGGCAUGAUAUUUGGCUCCCCUCCUGUGCAUUUGCUAAUGGAA